UACGAAGGGGGCUAGCGUUGUUCGGAAUCACUGGGCGUAAAGCGCACGUAGGCGGCUGUGCCAGUCAGGGGUGAAAUCCCGGAGCUCAACUUCGGAACUGCCUCUGAUACAGCACGUCUUGAGUCCGGAAGAGGUGGGUGGAAUUCCUAGUGUAGAGGUGAAAUUCGUAGAUAUUAGGAAGAACACCGGUGGCGAAGGCGGCCCACUGGUCCGGUACUGACGCUGAGGUGCGAAAGCUAGGGGAGCAAACGGG
rnacentral:rRNA from 1 species